AAUAAGAAAGUAACUAAGGGCGCAUGGCGGAUGCCUUGGCUCACUCAGGCGAUGAAGGACGCGAUAAGCUGCGAUAAUCCGCGGGUAGGUGCAAAUAACCAUUGAUCCGCGGGUUUCCGAAUGGGACAACCCGUAUGUCUUAACGACAUUCAUCCACAUUAAUUGUGGAGGCCAACGGAGGGAACUGAAACAUCUUAGUACCUCCAGGAAAAGAAAAUAAAUUAAUGAUUCCCCCAGUAGUGGCGAGCGACCGGGGAACAGCCCAAACCGUCCGGGUCUUAGGCUCGGUCGGGGUAGUAGGACCGCGUCGUUGCACUUUAAUUUUGAGUGGAACCGGCUGGAAAGCCGGGCCAUAGCGGGUGAAAGCCCCUUACACGAAAAGAUUAAAGGCAUAGCGGUAUCCUGAGUAACGCGGAGCACGAGGAAUUCUGCGCGAAUCCGCCGGGACCAUCCGGCAAGGCUAAAUACUCGAGUGAGACCGAUAGUGUACCAGUACCGUGAGGGAAAGGUGAAAAGCACUUCUACAAGAAGAGUGAAAUAGUUCCUGAAACCAUGCGCCUACAAGCGGUCGGAGCGUGUAUAUACACGUGACGGCGUGCCUUUUGCAUAAUGAACCUACGAGUUACCAUCACCGGCGAGGAUAAGUCUCAUGAGAGACGCAUCCGCAGUGAAAGCGAGCCUGAAUAGGGCGAAAUAUAGUCGGUGGGGGUAGACGCGAAACCAAGUGAUCUACACAUGUCCAGGUUGAAGUCCCGGUAACACGGGAUGGAGGACCGCACCAAUAAGCGUUGAAAAGCUUCUGGAUGAGGUGUGUGUAGGAGUGAAAGGCCAAUCAAACUUGGAGAUAGCUCGUACUCCCCGAAAGGCAUUUAGGUGCCGCGUGCGAUGAUCCGCGUGAGAGGUAGAGCGACCGAUAGGUCGAGAGGGCUUCACCGCCUGUCAAGACCUGACGAACUCCGAAUGCUCACGCGCCGCAGUCGCGCAGUAAGGGGGCGGGUGCUAAGGUCCGUCCCCGAGAGGAGAAGAAUCCAGACCGUCGUCUAAGGUCCCGGAAUUCUGCCUGAGUUAGUCUAACGAAGUCUGGUCCCCGUGACAGCCAGGAUGUUGGCUUGGAAGCAGCCAUUCAUUCAAAGAGUGCGUAACAGCUCACUGGUCGAGGGUCCGGGCAUGGAUAAUAAUCGGGUAUAAGGCAGAUACCGAAGGCGCGGGAUAGCAAAUAAUAAAAGUAUCGGUAGGGGAGCAUUCCAUCGGCGUAGAAUGCGGGGGUUGACCCCCGCUGGAGCUUAUGGAAACGCAAAUGUAGGUAUAAGUAACGACAAGGAGGGCGAGAACCCCUCCCGCCGUAAGUCUAAGGUUUCCCGGGCAAUGCCAGUCAUCCCGGGGUCAGUCGGGUCCUAAGCCUCAGCCUAAUGGCGAAGGCGAUGGUCUAAACGGUUAAUAUUCCGUUACUUCCUUUUGGAGCGAUGUGGUGACGGAGCAGUGAAACGGCCGCGGGGCGACGGAAGUCCCCGUUGAAGAGUGUAGGCGUAGACAUGGGCAGGCAAAUCCACCCAUUGAGCCGACCUUGAUAGUAUGGAUUUCCCUUCGGGGCGAUCCAAUAGCGCCGGUAAUCAUACUCCCAAGAAAACCCGCUAAGCAUAUCCAUUGGGAACCCGUACCGCAAACCGACACAGGUAGACGGGUAGAACAUACUAAGGCGUUGAGAGAUUCAUGGUUAAGGAACUAGGCAAACUGACCCUGUAACUUCGGGAUAAAGGGUCCUCGUAAUUUACGAGGCGCAGAGAAUAGGUCCAGGCAACUGUUUAACAAAAACACAGGGCUGUGCUAACACGAAAGUAGAUGUAUACAGCCUGACACCUGCCCGGUGCCGGAAGGUUAAGAGGAGAGGUCAUCCCAUUUGGGUGCCGCCUUGAAUUGAAGCCCCGGUAAACGGCGGCCGUAACUAUAACGGUCCUAAGGUAGCGAAAUUCCUUGUCGGGUAAGUUCCGACCUGCACGAAUGGUGUAAUGAUCCGGACGCUGUCUCGACCAUGAUCUCAGUGAAAUUGUAGUAUCGGUGAAGAUGCCGAUUACCCGCGAUGGGACGAAAAGACCCCGUGAACCUUUACUAUAGCUUAGCAUUGACCUUGGUCAUCCGAUGUGUAGGAUAGGCCGGAGGCAUUGACGCGGUCGCGCCAGCGGUCGUUGAGCCAUCCUUGAAAUACGGCCCUUUGGCUGUCUGAGGUCUAACGCGCUAAUAGCGCGGACACUGCUUGGUGGGUAGUUUGACUGGGGUGGUCGCCUCCAAAAGCGUAACGGAGGCUUCCAAAGGUGCCCUCCGGCCGAUUGGUAACCGGCCUUAUAGAGUGCAAUGGCAUAAGGGCGCUUGACUGGGAGGCAGACAUGCCGAGCAGGCAGGAAACUGGGGCAUAGUGAUCCGGUGCAAGUGUAUGGAAACUGCAUCGCUCAAAGGAUAAAAGGUACUCCGGGGAUAACAGGCUGAUCCCCCCCAAGAGCUCAUAUCGACGGGGUGGUUUGGCACCUCGAUGUCGGCUCGUCACAUCCUGGGGCUGGAGAAGGUCCCAAGGGUUGGGCUGUUCGCCCAUUAAAGUGGCACGCGAGCUGGGUUCAGAACGUCGUGAGACAGUUCGGUCUCUAUCUAUCGUGGGCGCAGGAGUUUUGCGUGGUGCCGUCACUAGUACGAGAGGACCGUGAUGGACAGACCUCCGGUUUACCGGUUGUGCCGCCAGGCGCACCGCCGGGUAUCUGAGUCUGGUAUGGAUAAGCGCUGAAAGCAUCUAAGUGCGAAGCCUUCCGCAAGAUAAGAACUCCAUAGAGGGUCGUCGCAGACGACGACGUUGAUAGGGCGCAGGUGUAAAGACAGCGAUGUCAAAGCCGAGCGCUACUAAUUGCCCGAACGCUUUCUUG
rnacentral:rRNA from 1 species